UGGGCUUGUGAUACCCUGGGGGAAAUAAAUCUCCACCAGCAGUUGCAUCGACCCAGUGGUUGUAAAUAAACUUAUCAUAGAUACCAGGACUUAAUUUAGUAUAUACGCCAGACGCGCGUUUCGUCUACAAAAGACUCAUCAGUGACGCUGGAAUCCAAAAAAGUUAAAAAGGCCAAAUAAAGUACGAAGUUGAAGAGCAUUGAGGACCAAAAUUCCUAAAAGUUUUGCCAAAUACAGC
rnacentral:lncRNA from 1 species